rnacentral:rRNA from 1 species
AACGAACGCUGGCGGCGUGGAUAAGACAUGCAAGUCGAACGGGAUUACUUUUGGUAGCAAUACCGAAAGUAAUUCAGUGGCGAACAGGUGCGUAACACGUGGGCAAUCUGCCGAAAAGUGGGGGAUAGCUCGCCGAAAGGCGAAUUAAUACCGCAUGUGGUGAGGGACGACAUCUUCCUGAAUCCAAAGCCGGGGCAACCUGGCGCCUUUUGAGGAGCCCGCGGCCUAUCAGCUUGUUGGUGGGGUGAU